UUUCUUUUUAUCUUUUCAUUGUAAAGCAGUUGAUGCUACAAUCUGCCAAUUUGGUGGUUUUAUUCUGAGUACAAGAGCUUGAGUUUUAAGACUCGGUCACAUUCCCAGCUUUUGGUCUUAAAUGAUGGGCUUGAGUUCGGUUGUGGUGGGCCUGGGGAGCAUAGACCUGUCUGGAGCAGUGUUGUUUGCCUCUGUAAGGUGGUGGAAGCCCAGUGUGGAUAUGAGCUUGGCAGUGCUGUGUCCUCUUGAGUGUUUGUGGAGCAACCCAUCCCUGCCAUCACACCUGGGUGUGCUCCCUCCAAACAGCAGCAAUGGGAACAGUCUAACACGGAUGUACUGCAGGCCACAGGUCAGAAAGCGGGUAAUUUAUUAGACAGUGGAUGGACCUGCCAGUGGAGUGAUGUGUUCAGGAGGACAGAAACACCAACCACAUCCUUGUAAACAGAGCAGCACUGAGAAACUUCACAUUAUGUGUUUCAAAUCGGUUGUAUUUUGAAUGUGCUUAAUUCAUUAUUGUUUUAACCAAAGUUAAAUCAGACUCGGGGAAGCAAUGAAGAUGAACCAUUCCAGCUACUGUGUGCCUUUUAUUGUAAGGAACAUGAUGGGGUUUAUACCCAAAAAAAAAGCAGAUGCUUUUUACUUGUUAUGGGUCCUUUGGCCAAGUAGGUUUUGAUUUUAUAGCACUAAAUACUUAACUCUUUGUACCACUGGGAUGAAGUGUUUGGCUUUAUGACUGCAAUGCAGGUCUUUUAUUAGCAAAACUUAAUGUGUAACAGGAUAAUUCCUUUGCACCUACUACUAUACAGGCUUGAUUUCGUGCAAAAUAAGUUUCUACUUCCUUGAUGGCCUUAUAUAAGCCUUAACUGGGAACGCAUCCAGCAUGUUCGAUGGGAAGAAAGGAGCUGCUUCAGAGCGGGCUCUUCUUUAGCAAUAGUCGUAAACAGGUUUAUAUAUAGGCACUGCUAUUACACACAGAGCUGGCUGAAGAAAUGCUUCCCCAGAACUAGUGGAUUUAAUGCAGGCCACAGGGGCUGUGCUUGAGCUAAUUCGUGAGCAGACCUGUUGUAGUAACUCAGGGCAAGGUUUAAAACACAAGAGCAUCUCUCAAACGCGUAGCUGCUGCAAGGGCUGGGUGUUGAAAGGCUGUUUGCUGUAAAAACAGGCUCAGAAACUUCGGCUGGCAUCCUACAUAUGCAAAUGCAGGUGCUGUACAUGUUAUAUUUGGAUUUUAGGGUUUUUCAGCUGCAUUUCAAGUCGAUCAGGAGCAGCAUUAUGUGGUUGGAUCGCUGGCUUUCAUCACCCAUACCCAAUCAUUACACAGGCGCUCCAUCAGCCCCCUCUCCCCAACAGUGCCUGCAGCUGAGCAUCAGCACAUUUGGGAACAAUAAAGGGCUGUCAUUUGGGAGUUUCUUUGCUUUCUUAAUCAGGCAGGACCCCAAAUUCCUCCUUCACAGAGCUCACGGAUCAGGCUUGUGUCUCAGAACAGGUACGCUUGCAUGUGAGCAAGGCGAGGGUUGGGCUUAGGGAGCUUUGUUGCUGAUGCACACGCAGCAUCGUUGGCUGCGUGCUCCGCUGGAGUUUGGGAUAGGUACAGGACAAACCAUGGCAAGGCUCCUGCCUUUGUGAUGGAUUUGUUUUGGGGGAUAAUGUGCUGGUUUUGUUCCUCGCCUCCUUCCGAACGAGCUGAAUUGUGAAAGAUAUGUUAAUGUGAGGAGACACACAAGAGAGGCUGAGGCAAUACACUGACACGUUGAAUAAUUAGAUCAUCUCCUGCGCAGGAAGAAAAGUCAAGUACGAAACAGGAACAAGAAGUGCCUCCCUCCCCCAUCGUACAGGCACCAGGUCUGGCUCCUUUCUGCAUGCAGAAGCAGGUGACUCAAAGCAGGAGCUAGCAGAUGGCUGCAUCGUUAGCUGGUGCCCACAGCCUUACGGGAUGAGGUUUGGAAUUCCCAUCAAAGUCGGGAUUAAGCGCUCAGGAUAUGCUGGUGGCACCGAGCACGCCGAGGCCGGGGGGGGGAGAGCCUGGAAGAAGAGGAAAUCAUUCCUAGCGACUCAUCCUGUGGUUGGUGGGCAAGUUUUCAGCUGGUGAUUUAUCAACAAAAGUAUUUCACAGGAUCAGAGUUAAAAGCUCUUCUUAAAACAAAUCUCCCCUUGUGCGAUAGGGAAAGUAAAAGCAGCUCGGGUUCCAAAGGAUGGAGGAAUAACCGAAAGAGCUAGUUCUUGGAAUAGUAGCUCCAUUGGCACUUGCUGGUGAUUUCCUGUGCAUUUGCUGCAAGAAUCACUCUGUGAUCCAGAAUGGAGCUGCGUCAGGACGGGUGCCUGCACCAGGCGAGGUGGUGCUUUGGAGCUGUUUGGUUCUGUUCUGGAAGCAGAUGGGCUGCCACUAGCAGGAGACAGUUGGCUUCUCCAUCUGAAAGGGGUGCUUAAGGGAAUUGGUCUGGCUCCUAAACCGAAGGAAUUGUUGACCUACUGACUCAGUUUGGAAGCAUUAGGGAAGCAGUCUUCCUGUGGUUUCUUUUGUUGGUGGCAGCUUCAGAAGACGUCUGUGAGCGUACGGGGAUGAGGAGCAACAGGAGGGAGUUCUGAUACCUGCUGCCUGUGGGAUAUAUGUAGAGCCAGGAGCGAGCUGAUGGCUGAAUAACACUUAACCUUGUGAGAUGCUUCUGCUGGCAAUGCAUUGGUAAGUUGAUGCACUUCUCCUUUUCAGUGCUAAGAUGGGAUCUUGCUAAAUGGAACUGAAGGAAAGCUUUUUGAACGUAGCAAGGUGGAUUUGUUUUGUCACUGGAGCUGGCCUGCCACAGUUUAGGAGGCUGUAAUUAUGGGGGGAAACUUACUCCAGCAGGUCAAGGAAAACAGCUUGAAAUUGCUGUUCCCACCCAUUUUUAACCCGGAACGUUGGUGUUAAGGAAAGGGGUUGGGGCAGCCCUCCAGCUUGGAGAUAGAUCAUCCCACAGUCACUGCUGAGCUGUUGUUUUCCUGUUAAACUUCAUUGAAUGAACAAGGCUUCAGUUUUGUUGAAUUUCACAUGAAAAAAUCAUAUAUCCAUUCCUGGAAUUAAAUGAAAUGGUACUUUUCUUAAACUGUGCCUAAAAUAGGAGCACUGGUAUUUGUAAGUGGCUCUGUAAAUCCCAAGGAAAAAGCUAUCAUUUAGUGGUUUCUCAAAACCCCCAGCUCAUUAACAUUGCCUGGCAGGACUCACAUU